rnacentral:rRNA from 1 species
AGCGAACGCUGGCGGCAGGCUUAACACAUGCAAGUCGAGCGGGCCCUUCGGGGUCAGCGGCAGACGGGUGAGUAACGCGUGGGAACGUGCCCUUCGGUUCGGAAUAACUCAGGGAAACUUGAGCUAAUACCGGAUACGCCCUUUUGGGGAAAGGCUUGACUGCCGAAGGAUCGGCCCGCGUCUGAUUAGCUAGUUGGUGAGGUUACGGCUCAACAAGGCGACGAUCAGUAGCUGGUCUGAGAGGAUGAUCAGCCAAACUGGGACUGAGACACGGCCCAGACUCCUACGGGAGGCAGCAGUGGGGAAUAUUGGACAAUGGGGGCAACCCUGAUCCAGCCAUGCCGCGUGAGUGAUGACGGCCUUAGGGUUGUAAAGCUCUUUUCUCCGGGACGAUAAUGACGGUACCGGAGGAAUAAGCCCCGGCUAACUUCGUGCCAGCCGCCGCCGUAA